rnacentral:rRNA from 1 species
AGUGAACGCUGGCGGUAGGCCUAACACAUGCAAGUCGAACGGCAGCACAGUAAGAGCUUGCUCUUACGGGUGGCGAGUGGCGGACGGGUGAGGAAUACAUCGGAAUCUACUUUUUCGUGGGGGAUAACGUAGGGAAACUUACGCUAAUACCGCAUACGACCUACGGGUGAAAGCAGAGGAUCUUCGGACCUUGCGCGAUUGAAUGAGACGAUGUCGGAUUAGCUAGUUGGCGGGGUAAAGGCCCACCAAGGCGACGAUCCGUAGCUGGUCUGAGAGGAUGAUCAGCCACACUGGAACUGAGACACGGUCCAGACUCCUACGGGAGGCAGCAGUGGGGAAUAUUGGACAAUGGGCGCAAGCCUGAUCCAGCCAUACCGCGUGGGUGAAGAAGGCCUUCGGGUUGUAAAGCCCUUUUGUUGGGAAAGAAAAGCAGCAGGUUAAUACCCCGCUGUUCUGACGGUACCCAAAGAAUAAGCACCGGCUAACUUCGUG